AUGACUCCUCUCAGGGAAGAAGCAGCUGCCUUCAAAUUGCUGCCUGUAAUCAUUGCAGAAUUCCUGCAGCACGAGAGAGGAACAGCUGGAAUUACUGGCUCCAUGUGUGAACACAGGUGACCAGGAGAAAGCAGCUGCUGGCAGGCAAUCCUGAGCUCCUUGGGCAGAGCAAACUCCGAGGUCACUCCCUGGAGCUGCUCUUGGCUCUUUCUCUCCCUCCCACAAAAGCUGAGCUGCUGCCAGCUAAAGGUGGUGUAAUUAAGGAUAACAAAUCUGCAGUUCUGUGCUGAAACCUCUGCAAGGACUUCCCCUGAUCUUGGGGGGUCUUUCCCAACCAAAAUAAAUCUGUGAUGUUUCACAUCCUCCAUCCCCUCUGAGCUCUCUGGAAUGUGACCCACGAGUGCUGCUGCAGGGCUGGGAGGGAGCUCAGUCCUUGGGGAAGACCUGGGGAUGCAGGAGCUGGACCUGGGGAUCCAUGGAGCAAAGCUGCAGCCAGCACUCAGCAGCCUGUACUUCUGUCUCACCCCAGCAGGCGCUACAUGAACUCACUCCAUGAACACCACGUCCUGUGACACCAGAGCUGUCCUGUGACACCAAACCCAUCCAACCCUGACAGGUACUCGAUGCUCCUGUGCCAAGAGGAGGAGUCACACAUCCAAACUCUUCCCAUUUCUGGGACUAAGCAUUGAAAAGCAGAGGUGUGAAGUGAGGGGAAGAAGAGGCUCUCCCUGAGGAUUUCAUGGUUGCACCUGGUGAUUUUAAAGGACUUUUCCAAGCUAAA